rnacentral:rRNA from 1 species
CCAUGCAAGUCGAGCGGGGUUUAUCGGAUUAGCUUGCUAAACUGAUAAACCUAGCGGCGGACGGGUGAGUAACGCGUGAGCAAUCUGCCUCAUACAGGGGGAUAACAGGUGGAAACACCUGCUAAUACCGCAUAAGACUCCACUACCGCAUGGUAGAGAAGUCAAAGGGAUUACCGGUAUGAGAUGAGCUCGCGUCCCAUUAGCUAGUUGGUAGGGUAAAGGCCUACCAAGGCGACGAUGGGUAGCCGACCUGAGAGGGUGAUCGGCCACACUGGGACUGAGACACGGCCCAGACUCCUACGGGAGGCAGCAGUGGGGAAUAUUGCACAAUGGAGGGAACUCUGAUGCAGCAACGCCGCGUGAGUGAAGAAGGUUUUCGGAUCGUAAAACUCUGUCAUUGGGGAAGAAUAAAUGACGGUACCCAAUGAGGAAGCCCCGGCUAACUACGUGCCAGCAGCCGCGGUAAUACGUAGGGGGCGAGCGUUGUCCGGAAUUACUGGGCGUAAAGGGUACGUAGGCGGCUAUAUAAGUCAGGUGUGAAAUACCAGUGCUUAACACUGGAAUUGCAUUUGAAACUGUGUAGCUUGAGUGCAGGAGAGGAAAGUGGAAUUCCUAGUGUAGCGGUGAAAUGCGUAGAGAUUAGGAGGAACACCAGUGGCGAAGGCGACUUUCUGGACUGUAACUGACGCUGAGGUACGAAAGCGUGGGUAGCGAACAGGAUUAGAUACCCUGGUAGUCCACGCCGUAAACCGAUGAG